rnacentral:lncRNA from 1 species
UCAGAACUUAAAGUGUGAUGUGAAUUAAAUGUCAAAGAGAAUGAUAGGUUCAAUGAAGCUUCACCUAAGUCAAACAUGUUUUUUUACAGAUCUAAGUCCAACAUUUUAGAGUGACUAACAAACAUGAAACGCUAAUCGGGCCCUACAAAACAUUGGGACAUGCACAAUAGGUGAUUGUGAUCUAUAACUAUAUUCAUGUGUGUACACUAAGUCUGGGUGAUAUAGUAGAAGUCAUGUCUGCCAUAUUUUCUUUAUUGCUCCCGAGGAAUGGAGGAACAUGUGUAGCAGUCUCCAUGUUGGCUUCCCAACAUGAGGAUUAUGACCAUUCUCAACACCGAUGCAUUCUUGUUUGUCAUAUGGUAGUGUCGUUGUUGUGUCCGUUGACCCGCCAUGCCAAUAAGUUUCCACCUAAAACGGAUGCACGAAAAUUAAAAAAAUCAAAAGAAACGGCCGAUAGGAGAUAUCAGUUAGAAAGUUACUGCAUAAUUGCGAACUCCCUUUUUGGGUUCGAUCAGGCACUCCAAUCUACAGAAAAUAGUAGCUUAUAGUUAGUUAAGAUUAAAUGACACGUAUAUGUCAGUGAGGAAUAAUCUAUUGGUGGCCAACUGAAUUUACAUCAUUACCUAUCGGCUUACAUGUACAAUCUGCUCCACAGUAGUCUUGAGCUCUCGCUCUUUCUAGCAAAGGGCACAUAAUUUAACAGAACAUAAUCAUAAAACUUAUGUAGAUUUCACCAUUUGAACUACAAAUA